rnacentral:rRNA from 1 species
AGAGUUUGAUCAUGGCUCAGGAUUAACGCUGGCGGCGUGCUUAACACAUGCAAGUCGAACGGUGAUGGAGAGCUUGCUCUUCGGAUCAGUGGCGAACGGGUGAGUAACACGUGAGCAAUCUGCCCCUGACUCUGGGAUAAGCGCUGGAAACGGCGUCUAAUACUGGAUAUGAGCUGCGAUCGCAUGGUCAGCAGUUGGAAAGAACUUCGGUCAGGGAUGAGCUCGCGGCCUAUCAGCUUGUUGGUGAGGUAAUGGCUCACCAAGGCGUCGACGGGUAGCCGGCCUGAGAGGGUGACCGGCCACACUGGGACUGAGACACGGCCCAGACUCCUACGGGAGGCAGCAGUGGGGAAUAUUGCACAAUGGGCGCAAGCCUGAUGCAGCAACGCCGCGUGAGGGACGACGGCCUUCGGGUUGUAAACCUCUUUUAGCAGGGAAGAAGCGAAAGUGACGGUACCUGCAGAAAAAUCACCGGCUAACUACGUGCCAGCAGCCGCGGUAAUACGUAGGGUGCAAGCGUUAUCCGGAAUUAUUGGGCGUAAAGAGCUCGUAGGCGGUUUGUCGCGUCUGCUGUGAAAACCCGAGGCUCAACCUCGGGCCUGCAGUGGGUACGGGCAGACUAGAGUGCGGUAGGGGAGAUUGGAAUUCCUGGUGUAGCGGUGGAAUGCGCAGAUAUCAGGAGGAACACCGAUGGCGAAGGCAGAUCUCUGGGCCGUAACUGACGCUGAGGAGCGAAAGGGUGGGGAGCAAACAGGCUUAGAUACCCUGGUAGUCCACGCCGUAAACGAUGUCAACUAGCCGUUGGGAGCCUUGAGCUCUUAGUGGCGCAGCUAACGCAUUAGUUGACCGCCUGGGGAGUACGGCC